UGGCUCAGUGGUAGAGCGCUUGCCUUGCAUGCCUGAGGCCCUGGGUUCAAUUCCUGG
rfam:Dipodomys ordii contig_32608, whole genome shotgun sequence.